GACGGAGGAUGCAAGUGUUAUCCGGAAUCACUGGGCGUAAAGCGUCUGUAGGUGGUUCGAAAAGUCCACUGUUAAAGAUUGAGGCUUAACUUCAAAAAUGCCGUGGAAACUUUCAAACUAGAGUAUGGUAGGGGUAGAGGGAAUUUCCAGUGGAGCGGUGAAAUGCGUAGAUAUUGGAAAGACCACCGAUGGCGAAGGCACUCUACUGGGCCAUUACUGACACUGAGAGACGAAAGCUAGGGGAGCAAAUGGGAUUAGAUACCCCAGUAGUCCUAGCUGUAAACGAUGGAUACUAGAUGUUGUGUGUAUUGACCCAUGCAGUAUCGUAGCUAACGCGUUAAGUAUCCCGCCUGGGAAGUAUGCUCGCAAGAGUGAA
rnacentral:rRNA from 1 species